UCCGGAUCGAGCCCAUCGCUGAACCUUUGUGGUCUUGAGUGCAGCGCUCUCGUUGAUGAUGACAUCUCUGAUGACAUCGCUUGCUUGAAGAUUUUGGCGGGAAGCAGCAACAAGUUGUUGGCAAUGCUGCAGGUGAAAGAGUGUCGCUCUGUCCUUCCUUCCAAAUACUUCGCUGAGUGCUCCUAGAACAUCCAGGCAGAUGAAGCUUCUCCAUCUGAAGGCUGAAACAUCUUCAACACUCAACGGUGGAGCCGUUUUUCAAUCAUAAGGAGACUCAACACUUACGUUUUUGCACAUUUAAAAACCCCAUGAUCUCCAAACUGGACCUUUUGUUAAUGUAUAUCAGCUUUGACAUCAUUUAUAUGCUAAUGUACUCCUAAACCCUGAGAAAAGGAACUUUUAUGCAUUUGAAACCUUCAACUUCCUGAAUUAAGAAUGUUUUUGUCCAAUAAAAAACUUUAUAGAAUAAAAAUAUUCAUUUUAAAGCAUAUAUAAAAGGCUUGCUUAUGGCAAGAAAUAGCUUUUAGAAAAUCAUGAUUCAUGCCUGUGUCAUAAACUCAAAGCAAAGAAACAAGAAUUUCGUU